UCGGGAAUUUUGGGCAAUGGGCGCAAGCCUGAUGACGCAACGCCGCGUGGGGGAUGAAGGUCUUCGGAUCGUAAACCCCUGUCGAAUGGGACGAAAGACUCGCGAGUGAAUACUUCGCGAGAGUGACGGUACCGUUAAAGGAAGCCACGGCUAACUCUGUGCCAGCAGCCGCGGUAAUACAGAGGUGGCAAGCGUUGUUCGGAAUUACUGGGCGUAAAGGGCGCGUAAGCGGCCCUCUAAGUCAGACGUGAAAUCCCCCGGCUUAACCUGGGAACUGCGUCUGAUACUGGAGGGCUUGAGUAUAGGAGAGGGAUGUAGAAUUCCAGGUGUAGCGGUGAAAUGCGUAGAUAUCUGGAGGAAUACCGGUGGCGAAGGCGACAUCCUGGACCAUUACUGACGCUGAGGCGCGAAAGCUAGGGGAGCAAACGGGAUUAGAUACCCAAGUAGUCCCUGAGCGGGCUGGCAAGGCGCAU
rnacentral:rRNA from 1 species